rnacentral:RNase_P_RNA from 1 species
CGGGCCGGUUAGGCGGCCGCUCCGGCUCCGGCCGGAGAGGAAAGUCCGCACUUCACAGAGCGCGGUAGCGGGUAACACCCGUCGCCCGAAUCGGUUCACGCCGGCAAGGGCCGGAACAGGGGCACAGUGACGAUGCCCGCGCUCCCAUCCGGGGGCGCGGGAGUGAAACGGCUAACCUCUACCGGAAGCAAGGCCAAGUCGGGACGCCACCAGGCUGCUCGCCCAGUCCCAGGUAGGCUGCACGAGGCUGGCGGCAACGCCGGUCCCAGAGAGAUGGCCGCCCACGACAGAAUGCGGCUUAUCGACCGGUCCGACGC